rnacentral:rRNA from 1 species
GGCUUGUUGUAAAUUUAUAUUAAGUCUUACCUGCUCAAUGAUAUUAAAUAUAUUAAAUAGCCGCAGUAUAUUGACUGUGCAAAGGUAGCAUAAUCAUUUGUCUUUUAAUUGGGGACUUGUAUGAAUGGUUUGAUGAAAUAUUAACUUUCUUUGUAUAAAAUUAAAAAAAUUAAUUUUUUAGUUAAAAAGCUAAAAUAAUUUUAAGGGACGAGAAGACCCUAUAGAAUUUCAUGGGUUUGAAUUUAAUUUGUAUUUGGAUAUUUCUGAAUUUUAUUUUUAAAGCCAUUUUGUUGGGGUGACAGGGAAAUUUACUUAACUUUCUUUAUAUAUAUACUACAUAUUCGUAUUUUUAUGAUCCUAUUUUAAGGAUAUUAAGAUUAAAUUACCUUAGGGAUAACAGCGUAAUUUCCUUGGAGAGUUCUUAUUGAUAAGGGAGUUUGCGACCUCGAUGUUGGAUUAAAAUUAGUAUUAGGUGUAGGGGCUUAAUUUACUAGGUCUGUUCGACCUUUAAAAUUUUACA